rnacentral:rRNA from 1 species
CAGCCGCCACGGGAAUACGUAGGGUGCAAGCGUUAAUCGGAAUUACUGGGCGUAAAGCGUGCGCAGGCGGUUAUAUAAGACAGAUGUGAAAUCCCCGGGCUCAACCUGGGAACUGCAUUUGUGACUGUAUAGCUAGAGUACGGCAGAGGGGGAUGGAAUUCCGCGUGUAGCAGUGAAAUGGGUAGAUAUGCGGAGGAACACCGAUGGCGAAGGCAAUCCCCUGGGCCUGUACUGACGCUCAUGCACGAAAGCGUGGGGAGCAAACAGGAUUAGAUACCCCCGUAGUCCCUGUCUCUUAUAC